rnacentral:rRNA from 1 species
GAUGAACGCUGGCGGCGUGCCUAAUACAUGCAAGUCGAGCGAACGGACGAGAAGCUUGCUUCUCUGAUGUUAGCGGCGGACGGGUGAGUAACACGUGGAUAACCUACCUAUAAGACUGGGAUAACUUCGGGAAACCGGAGCUAAUACCGGAUAAUAUUUUGAACCGCAUGGUUCAAAAGUGAAAGACGGUCUUGCUGUCACUUAUAGAUGGAUCCGCGCUGCAUUAGCUAGUUGGUAAGGUAACGGCUUACCAAGGCAACGAUGCAUAGCCGACCUGAGAGGGUGAUCGGCCACACUGGAACUGAGACACGGUCCAGACUCCUACGGGAGGCAGCAGUAGGGAAUCUUCCGCAAUGGGCGAAAGCCUGACGGAGCAACGCCGCGUGAGUGAUGAAGGUCUUCGGAUCGUAAAACUCUGUUAUUAGGGAAGAACAUAUGUGUAAGUAACUGUGCACAUCUUGACGGUACCUAAUCAGAAAGCCACGGCUAACUACGUGCCAGCAGCCGCGGUAAUACGUAGGUGGCAAGCGUUAUCCGGAAUUAUUGGGCGUAAAGCGCGCGUAGGCGGUUUUUUAAGUCUGAUGUGAAAGCCCGCGGCUCAACCGUGGAGGGUCAUUGGAAACUGGAAAACUUGAGUGCAGAAGAGGAAAGUGGAAUUCCAUGUGUAGCGGUGAAAUGCGCAGAGAUAUGGAGGAACACCAGUGGCGAAGGCGACUUUCUGGUCUGUAACUGACGCUGAUGUGCGAAAGCGUGGGGAUCAAACAGGAUUAGAUACCCUGGUAGUCCACGCCGUAAACGAUGAGUGCUAAGUGUUAGGGGGUUUCCGCCCCUUAGUGCUGCAGCUAACGCAUUAAGCACUCCGCCUGGGGAGUACGACCGCAAGGUUGAAACUCAAAGGAAUUGACGGGGACCCGCACAAGCGGUGGAGCAUGUGGUUUAAUUCGAAGCAACGCGAAGAACCUUACCAAAUCUUGACAUCCUUUGACAACUCUAGAGAUAGAGCUUUCCCCUUCGGGGGACUAAGCGACAGGUGGUGCAUGGUUGUCGUCAGCUCGUGUCGUGAGAUGUUGGGUUAAGUCCCGCAACGAGCGCAACCCUUAAGCUUAGUUGCCAUCAUUAAGUUGGGCACUCUAAGUUGACUGCCGGUGACAAACCGGAGGAAGGUGGGGAUGACGUCAAAUCAUCAUGCCCCUUAUGAUUUGGGCUACACACGUGCUACAAUGGACAAUACAAAGGGCAGCGAAACCGUGAGGUCAAGCAAAUCCCAUAAAGUUGUUCUCAGUUCGGAUUGUAGUCUGCAACUCGACUACAUGAAGCUGGAAUCGCUAGUAAUCGUAGAUCAGCAUGCUACGGUGAAUACGUUCCCGGGUCU